rnacentral:misc_RNA from 1 species
GGGGUUGGUAUCUCAAACAUGAUUGGAAAGAUCCAGCGCCAUGAAUACAUGGGAUUCGAGAACCUUUGCAAAUAUGAUCCUUAAUUAAGUUUCAAGUUUAGGUGAAGCAAACUGGUCGUAGAUUAGUGCUUCCCUAACUGAAGUAGAGGUUUAUGUUGGAGAACGAUUCUUGGGUUGGUGGAGGAAGAUGAAUCACCAUCUCGAUUUAUAGCUAGUUCAAUUCUACAUUAGAUAUACACUGGCAAUGAAUCUGCUGUGGAAGAUUUCUGCUCUGGAGAAAUCUGUUGUGGUAUAUUUAUGCUGUGGGUGUUUUUCCAAUAGGGAAUUUAUUGUCUUUUUUGUGUGAAAUGGAAUUCAGUUUUGAACACAAGAAAUAAUGGGAGACAAAAAGGUAGAAAUU